UAUUGAUUUGCAUGUUUCUAUUUGUCAAGUAUUUGUUUAUCGUGUUAUACUUUAGAGAGCGGAGUCUGCCCCAUGAAGGGAAAGUGAACAAAGAGAGAUAGGCAGUGAAGCAGGCAGCAGUACUGUCGGAUGUGGCUGUUUAUGCUCCCCGUCACGCACGCAAGAACCACAGAUGCGCACUGCAAACACAGGGGGACACACAAUUUGAUAUGGCGCUCGCACACACUUGCAGUGACACACACAUCCCACACUCAGCAGUAGACAGCAGGGUCCUGUCUCCGAUCACAGCAGAGCGUGGAUCUGCAGCAUGACUGCUGUAGACUUCGUGUGUGCUGCUCCCGUCUGAGCGGCUGCCGCAGAUUUGCCUGCGAGGCUAGAGAGGGGGCCGCGACACCCAGGAGACUCAGUCCAUUCACAUUACCCACUGUGGGAGAAGCUGUGUGUUGGGCCGGGAAUGGGAGAGAGAAGGAGGGUGAGAAGCAAAGAAGAGCAGGAAGACAAUGGAGGAAGAAAAUAAAAAGAAACUGUGUGUGAAGAUAUAAGGGCAUGCCAGCAGGGGAGACCUGGUUUGUCAUCUAUGGUUCUGGGGUUGCUGCAGGGCUGCUGAGGCUUUCAGCCACCUUGAAAGUGCUUAGUAUCGCCCUUCUGACACAUGAAAUAACACAUAGGCACCCAUACACAUGCACAAAAACACCUCUGUACUUUUCAUUAUUCCCAGAGUUGAAGGCAUAUCAAAGAAAUACCAGGGGGCUUGCUGCUAGCGUGUCACCAGGGUGGACGCUGGCUGUCACACACAAAUGCAGACACACAGAAAUGGACGCCUGGCUAAUGCCUUUUCUGUUUCUAUCUGCGGGCUGCAUGACAAACAAAGACCUUUACAAGAAAACAGAAGAAGGUCUGAAUCUUUGUUGUCACUGGGAUCUGUGUAGCUUGGAGAGAAUCUGCUGAGGCAAAGAAACUGUCCUCAAAAGCAAAGAGAAGUCAUGCAGCUCGCGUAUAUGAGUGUGUUUGUGUGAGCAGUGCAUAUGAGAAGGGUUUGCUUAAGACUAAUUUCUCUUUUGCUAUUUUUUUAAGUGUCUAUUUCACAAAAAUGUGAUAGGAGUAACAGUAAUUUUGUUCCCAUACUAUUACAAAGAGAAGCAAGCAGCAUGCUUCAUUAAAUUAUAUGGCAAUGUAAUCCCCUAGUGAAAAAUACUAAUUACCCAUGUCAAAAUGUAACAUGAAAUGAAAGACUUCCAAAGUCAGAGGUUUGUGUACUCAGAAAUGCCUCAGGUAAAUCUAGUAAACAUCAUGUGAUGAGUAAACAAAGGGUUAAUGAGAAGAACCUAUGACCACCAGUUUUCAUGCCAACAUUUACUCCCUCUACCCUAUGAAACAUCCCCAGAUGAUGUCGUGUGGCUCCAUGUAUGCAUCCAUCUAGCCUUCUAUAACUUCCUUCAUAUUUGCAUCUCAAUCUCUUUCAUAUUGUUCGGAUGCCACCCGAUCUCAGUUGCCUCGACUCCUUUUACCCAGCCCCCGUGGCCCUCGGAUCUCCGAAACAGCCCUGCACGGGCCCUUCCCACCAGUCAGCCAGCAGCCAUCUGUCUGUUCAUCCGUCUCCGUGCCCGGCUCAUUUGGCCGCUCAGUAGGACUGUGAUGAUUCUCCAUCACUUGCGAUCUCUUCUUAUCAGACCCAUGCGGUGGGCCUAA